AUGGCACCUCACCUCCCAUGGCGCUUCCUCCAGUUUUUGCUACUGCUGCUGGGGUUUUCAUCAGCUCAAGCACGAGUAAACAUCACCCUGGGCUCUUCCUUGAAGGCCCAGGGGGCAAACAGCUCAUGGCUCUCGCCCUCCGGCGACUUCGCUUUCGGUUUCUGGCCAGUGGAAGGUAACCCCUCCUCAUACCUUCUCGCCGUCUGGUUCGACAAGAUCCCUGAGAAGACAGUCGCAUGGUACGCCAAGAGCAGCUCCGACGGUCAAGAGUCACCGGUGCAAGUGCCAUCCAGCUCCGUGCUGCACCUCACCACUGACGGGUUGCUCUCACUUCGCAACCCAUCUGGUGAUGAAGUCUGGAGUCCUCAGGCCCCUGGUGUGGCCUACGCCAGAAUGCUCGACACAGGCAACUUCAUGCUUGUCGAUGCAGAUGGCAAAGCAAAGUGGGAGACCUUUGGUGUCCCGGCUGAUACCAUCCUGCCCACACAAGUGCUCCGUGUGGGUCCGGAGAACAAGCUACUCAGAAGCCGUCUCAUCAACAUGGACAACUCCAAUGGCCGGUUUCUCCUAGCUGUGCAAACUGAUGGUAAUCUUGUGUUGUAUUCAAUGGACGAGCAUUCUGCACAUGAGUACGGUGCAUACUGGGCAUCUAAUACAGUUGGGAACGGCUCACAGUUGGUGUUCAAUGAAACCGGCAGGGUAUACUUCACCUUGAAAAAUGGGAGACAUAUCAAUAUCACUUCGGCAGGUGUGACCUCAAUGGAUGAUUUCUUCAAUCGUGCCACGCUAGAUCCAGACGGUGUAUUUCGGCAAUAUGUGUAUCCAAAGAGCCGAAAGGCCAGAAGCAUAUGGAGAUGGGAGAUGGUGAGCUCAGUUCCCGAGGACAUCUGCCAGGCAGUAUCGGUAGAGGCAGGCAGUGGUGCAUGUGGCUUCAACAGCUACUGCACCUUUGAUGGCACCAAGAAUCAGACAAGCUGCCAAUGCCCACAAUAUUACAAAUUCUUCGACAACGAGAGGCAGUACAAAGGGUGCAGGCCUGACUUUGUGCCACAAAGCUGUGACCUUGAUGAGGCAGCCGCAACGGCGCAGUUUGAGAUGACUCCAAUCGAUCGUGUUGAUUGGCCUCAAUCUGACUAUGAGCAAUACAGCCCCAUCGACGAGACUGAGUGUCGGAGGUUGUGUGUGCUUGAUUGCUUCUGCGCCACAGCCGUCUUUCAGGCAAGCACAAAUACCUGCUGGAAGAAAAAUCUCCCUUUAUCAAAUGGGCAUAUGACGGAAAGCGUAAACAGGACGAUUCUUAUUAAGGUGCCUAGGAGCAACAAUGCACAGUCCCAGCUCAGCAGUGGCUCUAGCAAAUGGAAAAAGGACAAGAAGUAUUGGAUUCUUGGGAGUUCAUUAUUUUUUGGGACUUCUGUAUUGCUAAGCCUUCUACUUAUCUCUAUUCUGCUCUUUGGCACUUAUUGUGGUAUCUCCAUCACCUUCAAGAAGAAACUCCAGUCACCACAAUCAUCAGGUAGUUCUAUAUUGCCCCCAAAGAUUUUUACUUACAAUGAACUGGAGAAGGCAACCAGUGGUUUCCAUGAGGUGCUAGGCAGCGGAGCCUCUGGUACUGUGUACAAAGGACAGCUUCAAGAUGAGCAUGUGACCAGCAUCGCCGUCAAGAAAAUUAAAAAGCUUCAGCAAGAGACUGAGAAGGAGUUCAUGGUGGAAGUGCAAACCAUGGGUCAGACAUCUCACAAGAAUUUGGUCAGGCUGCUUGGUUUGUGCAAUGAGGGAACUGACAGACUGCUAGUAUAUGAGUUCAUGACCAAUGGCUCGCUGAACGAGUUCCUCUUUGGUGAUGCUCGGCCACAUUGGAGCCUCCGUGUGCAAGUCGCACUUGGAGUGGCACGAGGGCUGCUCUACUUGCACGAGGAGUGCAGCACACAGAUUAUCCACUGCGACAUAAAACCACAGAACAUCCUUCUCGAUGCCAACUUUAUGGCAAAGAUUGCAGACUUUGGCCUGACGAAGCUUCUUCGAGCCAAUCAGACACAAACAAACACCGGCAUCCGGGGCACUCGAGGUUACGUUGCCCCAGAGUGGUUCAAGAACAUAGCGAUCACUUCCAAAGUCGAUGUUUACAGCUUUGGUGUGAUCCUGCUGGAGCUUGUGUGCUGCAGGAGGAAUGUGGAGGUAGAGAUCGCCGACGAAGAUCAGGCGACACUAACUUACUGGGCAAACGACUGUUACAGGUGUGGGAGGAUCGACUUGCUGGUGGAGGGUGACGAUGAAGCAAUCUUCAACAUGAAAAAGGCAGAGCGCUUCGUGGCUGUAGCACUUUGGUGCCUUCAGGAGGAGCCAAUGAUGCGGCCAACCAUGCUUAAGGUGACACAAAUGCUUGAUGGAGCAGUCCAAAUCCCCAUACCUCCGGAUCCCUCUUCCUUCAUCAGUUCCCUUCAGUAG
rnacentral:rRNA from 1 species